UUAUCUGUCCAUUUGUUGUUUUUAUAAUAGUAUAACUAAGAAAUGAAAAAGAAUGUCAAUCAAAUUUUUAGAAAAAAAAAUAAUGCAAGUAUUACAAAAUUUAUUUUUAAAAAUAACAAAUUAGAUUGUCAGUUAUAUGAAAAAUCAAUAGCAUUUUUAUUUUUUAAACCCAAUGAUUUGAAUGAAAGACACAAUUUGUGUUGGUUUCAUAUGUACAAAUAUGUUAACACAUACUUAACAUUAGGUCAUCACAUUAGUGUCUACUCUGCACUAUCAAGUCUGUUGAACACAGAGAAGAAACAUUCAAAUGUCAACAUUUUCAGACUUCUCUCAUAACUUUGUUUCAAUAUUUUAUGAACAUUGACAGUGUGAUACUUUAACAGAACUUUUCACACCUCAAAUGUAUUUUUAAAAAAAUAUUAAAAACCAAUACAUUGAUACAAGUCAGCAAUAAAAUUUACCAAAAGCAUUUUACUCUCACAUUACCAUGGCUAACUACAUUGCAACUAGCCAUUCUAUAAGUAAAAUUCAGGGGUAUGAGUAUAUAAUAAAAUAUCAUAAAAUACAAAUGGCUAACAGUCUCCUUCUCUCAAGCAACUUGUACUACUCUAAGAGUAUCUUAUCAAUACAAACAAUGGGAAACAUUGUCUACAUCUUUGACUAACUACCUUUUUUGUUUUUUAUUCGAAACCUACAUGACUGAAGGUAAGUGCUGAAAUUAAGUCACAGUGAUAGUUGCAUAAAAUAGUAGCACUUGAGGACAAAAAUACAAACAACUAUAACAACAUGGAUUCUGAAAUGUCUAGCAGUGAAGCAGAUACCAAAUUAACCACAUAAAUAUUCGGAAUCCCUAAGACAAUCUUUCCAUUUACUGGUUUUAAUAAAGGCUGUCCCAUUAAUCCUCUAGCGACGAUAUUCUGUUUCAUUUUUUUCCCCCAACUUAAAGAAAUUAAAUGAAUCUUUUUGACAACUGUUUCAUAACAGUACUGUUAGCCAACUGUUUCAUUACUAAAACUAUUCAUAACAGUACUGUUAGCCAACUGUUUCGUUACUAAAACUAUUCAUAACAGUACUGUUAGCCAAC